rnacentral:rRNA from 1 species
AAUUCGAUUAGAGUUUGAUCCUGGCUCAGAUUGAACGCUGGCGGCAUGCCUUACACAUGCAAGUCGAACGGCAGCACGGGAGCUUGCUCCUGGUGGCGAGUGGCGAACGGGUGAGUAAUACAUCGGAACGUACCCAGGAGUGGGGGAUAACGUAGCGAAAGUUACGCUAAUACCGCAUAUUCUGUGAGCAGGAAAGCGGGGGAUCGCAAGACCUCGCGCUCUUGGAGCGGCCGAUGUCGGAUUAGCUAGUUGGUGAGGUAAAAGCUCACCAAGGCGACGAUCCGUAGCAGGUCUGAGAGGAUGAUCUGCCACACUGGGACUGAGACACGGCCCAGACUCCUACGGGAGGCAGCAGUGGGGAAUUUUGGACAAUGGGGGCAACCCUGAUCCAGCCAUGCCGCGUGAGUGAAGAAGGCCUUCGGGUUGUAAAGCUCUUUCGGCGGGGAAGAAAUGGCAACGGCUAAUAUCCGUUGUUGAUGACGGUACCCGCAUAAGAAGCACCGGCUAACUACGUGCCAGCAGCCGCGGUAAUACGUAGGGUGCGAGCGUUAAUCGGAAUUACUGGGCGUAAAGCGUGCGCAGGCGGUUUCGUAAGACAGACGUGAAAUCCCCGGGCUCAACCUGGGAACUGCGUUUGUGACUGCGAGGCUAGAGUACGGCAGAGGGGGGUAGAAUUCCACGUGUAGCAGUGAAAUGCGUACAGAUGUGGAGGAAUACGAUGGCGA